rnacentral:rRNA from 1 species
UACGUAGGGCGCAAGCGUUGUCCGGAAUUAUUGGGCGUAAAGAGCUCGUAGGCGGUUUGUCGCGUCUGCUGUGAAAACCUAAGGCUCAACCUUGGGCUUGCAGUGGGUACGGGCAGACUAGAGUGCGGUAGGGGUGACUGGAAUUCCUGGUGUAGCGGUGGAAUGCGCAGAUAUCAGGAGGAACACCGAUGGCGAAGGCAGCUCACUGGGACGGUACUGACGCUGAGGCGCGAAAGCGUGGGGAGCAAACAGG